rnacentral:rRNA from 1 species
GCAGUCGAACGAUACUUUCCAGCUUGCUGGAAAGGAAAGUGGCGCACGGGUGCGUAACGCGUAUGCAACCUACCUUAAUCAGGGGGAUAGCCCGAAGAAAUUCGGAUUAACACCGCAUAAAAUCACAGUACAGCAUUGUACAAUGAUCAAAUAUUUAUAGGAUUAAGAUGGGCAUGCGUGACAUUAGCUAGUUGGCGGGGUAACGGCCCACCAAGGCUACGAUGUCUAGGGGAUCUGAGAGGAUGACCCCCCACACUGGUACUGAGACACGGACCAGACUCCUACGGGAGGCAGCAGUAAGGAAUAUUGGUCAAUGGAGGCAACUCUGAACCAGCCAUGCCGCGUGCAGGAAGACAGCCCUCUGGGUCGUAAACUGCUUUUAUUCGGGAAUAAACCUACUUACGUGUAAGUAGCUGAAUGUACCGAAGGAAUAAGGAUCGGCUAACUCCGUGCCAGCAGCCGCGGUAAUACGGAGGAUCCAAGCGUUAUCCGGAUUUAUUGGGUUUAAAGGGUGCGUAGGCGGCUUUUUAAGUCAGGGGUGAAAGACGGUAGCUCAACUAUCGCAGUGCCCUUGAUACUGAAGAGCUUGAAUGGACUAGAGGUAGGCGGAAUGUGACAAGUAGCGGUGAAAUGCAUAGAUAUGUCACAGAACACCGAUUGCGAAGGCAGCUUACUAUGGUUUUAUUGACGCUGAGGCACGAAAGCGUGGGGAUCAAACAGGAUUAGAUACCCUGGUAGUCCACGCCCUAAACGAUGAAUACUCGCUGUUAGCGAUACACAGUUAGCGGCUAAGCGAAAGCGUUAAGUAUUCCACCUGGGGAGUACGGUCGCAAGAUUGAAACUCAAAGGAAUUGACGGGGGCCCGCACAAGCGGAGGAGCAUGUGGUUUAAUUCGAUGAUACGCGAGGAACCUUACCCGGGCUUGAAAGUUAGUGAAUCAUUUAGAGAUAGAUGAGUCCGCAAGGACACGAAACUAGGUGCUGCAUGGCUGUCGUCAGCUCGUGCCGUGAGGUGUUGGGUUAAGUCCCGCAACGAGCGCAACCCCUAUGUUUAGUUGCCAGCACGUAAUGGUGGGGACUCUAAACAGACUGCCUGUGCAAACAGAGAGGAAGGAGGGGACGACGUCAAGUCAUCAUGGCCCUUACGUCCGGGGCUACACACGUGCUACAAUGGAUGGUACAGAGGGCAGCAAGCUGGUAACAGCAAGCAAAUCUCCAAAAGCCAUUCACAGUUCGGAUAGAGGUCUGCAACUCGACCUCUUGAAGUUGGAUUCGCUAGUAAUCGUAUAUCAGCAAUGAUACGGUGAAUACGUUCCCGGGCCUUGUACACACCGCCCGUCAAGCCAUGGAAGUUGGGGGUACCUAAAGUAUGUAACCGCAAGGAG